rnacentral:rRNA from 1 species
UACGUAGGGUGCGAAGCGUUGUUCCGGAAUUAUUGGGCGUAAAGGGCUCGUAGGCGGUCCAUCGCGUCGGGAGUGAAAAGCUGGGGCUUAACCCCAGUCCUGCUUCCGAUACGGGUGGACUAGAGGUAGGUAGGGGAGAACGGAAUUCCUGGUGUAGCGGUGAAUGACGCAGAUAUCAGGAGGAACACCGGUGGCGAAGGCGGUUCUCUGGGCCUUACCUGACGCUGAGGAGCGAAAGCAUGGGGAGCAAACAGG